rnacentral:rRNA from 1 species
GAUCCUGGCUCAGGAUGAACGCUGGCGGCGUGCUUAACACAUGCAAGUCGAACGGGAAACCUUUUAAUGAAGCUUCGGCAGAUUUAGCUGGUUUCUAGUGGCGGACGGGUGAGUAACGCGUGGGUAACCUGCCUUAUACAGGGGGAUAACAACCAGAAAUGGUUGCUAAUACCGCAUAAGCGCACAGGACCGCAUGGUCCGGUGUGAAAAACUCCGGUGGUAUAAGAUGGACCCGCGUUGGAUUAGCUGGUUGGUGGGG